GAUGAACGCUGGCGGCGUGCCUAAUACAUGCAAGUCGAGCGAACAGACGAGGAGCUUGCUCCUCUGACGUUAGCGGCGGACGGGUGAGUAACACGUGGAUAACCUACCUAUAAGACUGGGAUAACUUCGGGAAACCGGAGCUAAUACCGGAUAAUAUAUUGAACCGCAUGGUUCAAUAGUGAAAGACGGUUUUGCUGUCACUUAUAGAUGGAUCCGCGCCGCAUUCGCUAGUUGGUAAGGUAACGGCUUACCAAGGCAACGAUGCGUAGCCGACCUGAGAGGGUGAUCGGCCACACUGGAACUGAGAAAAGGACCAGACUCAUAAGGGAGGCAGCAGUAGGGAAUAUUCCGAAAUGGGCGAAAGCCUGACGGAGCAACGCCGCGUGAGAGAUGAAGGUCUUCGGAUCGUAAAACACUGUUAUUAGAGAAGAACAAAUGUGUAAGUAAAUAUGCACGUCGUGACGGUACCUAAUCAGAAAGACAAGGCUAACUACGUG
rnacentral:rRNA from 1 species